AGGGGCCUGUUGCACAAAAGUAGAAUUAAGACAUCCAGGCUAAAUGACUGAGCUGAGCUCAAUGAAGCCAAAACAAGUGCGUCCACGCUUAAUUGGUUGCACAAAGACCAAGCCAGGAUGAUCAGACACGGAUUCAUCAAGCCAGGUGAAACCAAUCCUGGAUAGGUGCGCGCUCACGGCUCACUCAACUAGACCCCGCCACCGAUCACAGAUUCACCGAUUCACCAUGGCAACUAGCGGCGUUCUUUUCCCCGUCAGAGGCACAAAUCCAUACGAGGAGGUAAAAGACAUAAUUAAGAAGAAAGGCAACACCGCCACAGUGAUAAAGCGAAGAGAAAAAGCGUGGCAAAGUAUUGCAGACCGCCUGAAUGCAUUAAAUAUGACCGGGCCAAAACGGACAUGGCAGCAGGUCAAAAUCAAAAUCUGCAGAAUGCAGUGAAAAAGAAUACCCAGAGACAAGGCACGGGUGGUGGGUCACCAAAGCUGACCUCAUCCCAGCAGAGGCCAGCUUUGGAGCUAAAUAAAGGCAGGCCUGUUGGAGGGGAUCCCUGGGGGAAAAGAGACAAGCAUAGGUCUCUCACAAGAUGCCACCCGCUUCAUACAAGAUAUGUUCUUCCAUCUCUACAUGGGACACAAUCACAUUCAUAUUGAAUCUAUUUGGACUGUCUGACUUUGGUUUGCCUAUUGCCUUGCAGUGUCUGGCAGCACUGUGUUACUGUUAAAGCCACUAGCACGAG